GAUUAACGCUGGCGGGAUGCAUAACACAUGCAAGUCGAGCGCCCCUUCGGGGGAGCGGCGCACGGCUGAGUAGCACGUGGGAACAUACCCUGCAGUGGGGGACAACACGCCGAAAGGCGUGCUAAUCCCGCAUACGCUCGCCUCACUUCGAGGCGAGGAAAACCGCAAGGUGCUGGAGGCAUGGCCCGCGGCCCAUCAGGUAGUUGGUGCGGUAACGGCGCACCAAGCCAAUGACGGGUAGCUGGUCUGAGAGGACAGACAGCCACAUUGGGACUGAGACACGGCCCAAACUCCUACGGGAGGCAGCAGUGGGGAAUAUUGGACAAUGGGCGCAAGCCUGAUCCAGCCAUGCCGCGUGAGUGAUGAAGGCCUUAGGGUUGUAAAGCUCUUUUGUCCGGGAAGAUAAUGACUGUACCGGAAGAAUAAGCCCCGGCUAACUUCGUGCCAGCAGCCGCCGUAA
rnacentral:rRNA from 1 species